rnacentral:lncRNA from 10 species
CGAGCCCCCGCGCCGCUGUGCUGGAGCCGCAGGGCCUCCCUCCAGCCGGGCGGUCCCAGGCGGCCCGCGCCCCCUGUUCUUCCGGCCCUGGGGCCCCGGUACCCCUCUGGCCCUCCCCCUCCUGCCGCGCGGAGUCGGAUCCUCUUCAGGUGGCCCGGCCGGGGCCUUCCCCUGCAGACCUGUCACCCGACACCCAGGAAGCGCGCGGCCGGGUCCCGGCUCCCCUUUGUUCCCCCGCUGGGCUCCGCGCUCGGGCGCCGCCCCCUCUUGCGGGGCAGCGGAGGUUUUGGCCCGGGCCGGGCGCGCUUCAGGUUCUGUCCAUGCGGCCCUUUCCGAACCUGGGCCCUUUUUGCCUGACUUCUCCGGUGUGGACUCCCCGCGGAGCUGGGAGGCGGCAGUGCGCCCAGCCUGGAGCCGGCGCAGUAAUUCGAACCUCUUAGCCAAGACCAGAGCUAAAUGGGCACCUUCAUCACACCACCGACGUUGACCCCAGGCUGACAGAUGUGACCUGUUUCCGGUGCUCUUUGAAUCCUCAUUUCCAUUUGCUUUUCAACUUUAUUGUAUAUAUCUUUUUUUUUUUUUUUUUUUUUUUUUUUUUUUUUUUUUUUUUUUUUUUGAGACGGAGUCUGGCUCUGUCACCCAGGCUGGAGUGCAGUGGCGCGAUCUCGGCUCACUGCAAGCUCCGCCUCCCGGGUUCACGCCAUUCUCCUGCCUCAGCCUCCGGAGUAGCUGGGACUACAGGCGCCCGCCACCUCGCCCGGCUAGUUUUUUAUAUUUUUUAGUAGAGACGGGGUUUCACCGUGUUAGCCAGGAUGGUCUCGAUCUCCUGACCUCGUGAUCUGCCCGCCUCGGCCUCCCAAAGUGAUCUUUUUAUU